AGCAGCCGCGGUAAUUCCAGCUCCAAUAGCGUAUAUUAAAGUUGUUGCAGUUAAAAAGCUCGUAGUUGAAUUUCGGGAUCAGUAGGUCGGUCAUGCCUAUGGUAUGUACUGGUCUCACUGGUUCCUCCUUCCUGAUGAACCGUAAUGCCAUUAAUUUGGUGUUGCGGGGAAACUGGACUGUUACUUUGAAAAAUUAGAGUGUUUAAAGCAGGCUAACGCUUGAAUACAUUAGCAUGGAAUAAUGAAAUAGGACGAUCGAUCCUAUUUUGUUGGUUUCUAGGAUUGACGUAAUGAUUAAUAGGGAUAGUUGGGGGCAUUAGUAUUCAAUUGUCAGAGGUGAAAUUCUUGGAUUUAUUGAAGACUAACUACUGCGAAAGCAUUUGCCAAGGAUGUUUUCAUUAAUCAAGAACGAGAGUUAGGGGAUCGAAGACGAUCAGAUACCGUCGUAGUCUUAACCAUAAACUAUGCCGACUAGGGAUCGGAUGAUGUUAAUUUUAUAAUGACUCAUUC
rnacentral:rRNA from 1 species